UACGUAGGGGGCGAGCGUUAUCCGGAAUUACUGGGUUUAAAGGGUGCGUAGGCGGCUAAGUAAGUCAGGAGUGAAAGUUUGCGGCUCAACCGUAAAAUUGCUUUUGAUACUGCAUAGCUAGAAUUAGGAUGAGGUCAGCGGAAUGUGGCAUGUAGCGGUGAAAUGCAUAGAUAUGCCAUAGAACACCAAUUGCGAAGGCAGCUGGCUAGACCUGGAUUGACGCUGAGGCACGAAAGCGUGGGGAGCGAACAGG
rnacentral:rRNA from 1 species